CCAGAGCCUGGAGGUCGGAGGAGCCGAGGAGAGCUGGAGAGGAGAUCCGGACUUCGGAGCAGGGGCAGCCCAAGAACUGAAGAUUUGAGAAGCCUCAAGCCGUCGACGGUGUCACGAUCGAGCCGAGAAGGGAAGGGUCGAGCCGCCGAAGAACUGAAGAACUGAAGAAGGCAAGAAGCACUGGAGUCUGGGGGGAGAGGAGAACUGAAGAAGCCGAGAAGGUUCAACAAAAAAAAGCACCGGCAGAGAAGGGGGGAGAGAAGGGGGGAGGGAAUGUCCGUUGUUUGUCGUAGCCGUCGCCCGCCUUACCUCACCUCAGCCACCUAUAGCCCGUAGCCUGUCUGUCGUCGGGGAUGCACUGUAGCGGUGUAGCCAGGCGUAGCCGGUAGCUUUCGGAUGUGAAGCUGUGCAGCGUUAAACAGAAAAAAAAGUGUGCAGUGGGUGGCAGAGCAGGGCCUUCCUUGGGCCGGAGGCAGUCGCCUAAGGCUCGAGCCGGCCCUGAGGGGGAUCAUGGGAGGACCUGCCUUCUCAUGGCACCGACCGAUGGCAUUAACAUG
rnacentral:lncRNA from 1 species